rnacentral:tRNA from 1 species
UCCCUGGUAGCUCAGUUGGUAGAGCGGUUCGCUGUUAACGAACAUGUCCCAGGUUCGAGUCCUGGCCAGGGAG